GAUGAACGCUGGCGGCGUGCCUAAUACAUGCAAGUCGAGCGAACAGACGAGGAGCUUGCUCCUCUGACGUUAGCGGCGGACGGGUGAGUAACACGUGGAUAACCUACCUAUAAGACUGGGAUAACUUCGGGAAACCGGAGCUAAUACCGGAUAAUAUAUUGAACCGCAUGGUUCAAUAGUGAAAGACGGUUUUGCUGUCACUUAUAGAUGGAUCCGCGCCGCAUUAGCUAGUUGGUAAGGUAACGGCAUACCAAGGCAACGAUGCGUAGCCGACCUGAGAGGGUGAUCGGCCACACUGAAACUGAGACACGGUCCAGACUCCUACGGGAGGCAGCAGUAGGGAAUCUUCCGCAAUGGGCGAAAGCCUGACGGAGCAACGCCGCGUGAGUGAUGAAGGUCUUCGGAUCGUAAAACGCUGUUAUUAGGGAAGAACAAAUGUGUAAGUAACUAUGCACGUCUUGACGGUACCUAAGCAGAAAACCACGGCUAACUACGU
rnacentral:rRNA from 1 species